rnacentral:lncRNA from 1 species
UCACGCUCCACCACAGCCUGCUACAGGGUAGUUGUGGGUAAGGCCCCAAAUGCCUGUGUCCAGUUCCGCCAGUGCUGUACACUUUUAGUGAAGUACUUGAUGUUGAUUUGGGUAACCUGGAAAUGCACUUCUGAUCUUGCUAUUCACGAUUCCACUUGAGGCUUAAACUUCCUUAGCAUUUACAAAGGAAGAUAGCCUGGGUAGGCGAUGUCAUGGCCAUUCCUAGCUCGGAUUUGUUGAUUCAGAUGGUUGAGAAUUUUAGUUUUUAAAGUUUAUUUUAACAUCUCCCACACAAAGCCCCAAGAAUUAUAUUGACUAAUAGAAGCAGGUGGGUGUGAGACAGUUCUAGCAAGUUAUUCUUUCGUGCCGCUUUCCUCUCAGAAAAGGUAUUCCCGCAGCACAUGGUAAGCCCACCAGUUAUUCCAUAAGGGUGGACAACACAGUUCCGCUUGUGACUCAGGCCCCAGCUGUACAGCCUCUGCAGAUCCGACCAGGAGUCCUUUCACAGCAGACAUGGUCUGGUCGAACACAGCAGAUGCUAAUACCUGCCUGGCAGCAGGUAACACCCAUGGCUCCUGCUGCUGCAACACUAACUUCUGAAGGCAUGGCUGGUUCACAGAGGCUUGGAGACUGGGGGAAAAUGAUUCCACACAGCAAUCAUUAUAACUCCGUGAUGCCGCCACCUCUUCUGACCAAC